AGUAACUGCGAGUGAAGCGGGAAAAGCUCAAAUUUAAAAUCUGGCGGUCCUUGUGGCCGUCCGAGUUGUAAUCUAGAGAAGUGCUAUCCGCGCUGGACCGUGUACAAGUCUCCUGGAACGGAGCGUCAUAGAGGGUGAGAAUCCCGUCUUUGACACGGACUACCAGGGCUUUGUGAUGUGCUCUCAAAGAGUCGAGUUGUUUGGGAAUGCAGCUCUAAAUGGGUGGUAAAUUCCAUCUAAAGCUAAAUAUUGGCGAGAGACCGAUAGCGAACAAGUACCGUGAGGGAAAGAUGAAAAGAACUUUGGAAAGAGAGUUAAACAGUACGUGAAAUUGUUGAAAGGGAAACGCUUGAAGUCAGUCGCGUUGGCCGGGGAUCAACCUUGCUCUUUUGCUUGGCGUACUUUCCGGUUGACGGGUCAGCAUCAAUUUUGACCGAUGGAUAAAGGUCAGGGGAAUGUGGCAUCUUCGGAUGUGUUAUAGCCCUUGGUCGCAUACAUCGGUUGGGAUUGAGGAACUCAGCACGCCGCAAGGCCGGGUCUUUGACCACGUACGUGCUUAGGAUGCUGGCAUAAUGGCUUUAAUCGACCCGUCUUGAAACACGGACCAAGGAGUCUAACAUGCCCGCGAGUGUUUGGGUGGAAAACCCGGACGCGCAAUGAAAGUGAAAGUUGAGAUCCCUGUCGUGGGGAGCAUCGACGCCCGGACCAGACCUUCUGUGACGGUCCCGCGGUAGAGCGUGUAUGUUGGGACCCGAAAGAUGGUGAACUAUGCCUGAAUAGGGUGAAGCCAGAGGAAACUCUGGUGGAGGCUCGUAGCGAUUCUGACGUGCAAAUCGAUCGUCGAAUUUGGGUAUA
rnacentral:rRNA from 1 species